rnacentral:lncRNA from 1 species
CUUAAUCCAUCCCACUUGCAGUUGUUACUGUUUUCCAAGCCGUAGAGUCAUGUACGCCACUGUCUGAAGCCGUCUAGGGUGGCCUUUGAGGAAAAAAAUCUAUCCAAGGUCAACUAUACAAGGUCGCGUUAAUUUUUGCGUGCUAGCCUCUUCAUCCCGUUAACACGUCGCGGGCGACUUCACAAAUAUGGACUUAAUCCGUAAUUCCCGAGAAGCUGACUGCUCUCAUUUUCAAACAGGUGAUAUAUGCCUAGAAGUCGGUAGCAAGUAACAUAGUCGUCUGUUUGCAAAAGCUCUGUUUGGAGCAUCGGCACAUACAAAUAGCGACUAUCGUUGUUCGCGUUUAAGAAAUAUAAAAAACUAACUGUAUCUCACGCUCAAGUUUAGCUGUUGUCAUUAUAGGAAAUUUUAAGAGAGAGAGAGAGAGAAACUGUUGUGCGGCAGCAGAAUUGUCCUGUCGACUCGGAAAAAUUGGAAGCGCUAUGCCGAACUUCUGUCUAGUGGUACUUUGAAGGUUUAUGGAGAUAAAUAAAUCAUACAGCCCUGAAUUGACGCCUCUGUAUUUCAGUAAAAAUUACAUUGUUAGCUACAGUGCACGAAGGAACCGAGCACUGGUUUGCCUAAACACUGUCAAUGGAAUUAGAAGAAGAAGAAGCAGAAGAAAAUCGAUGGUUCUGACUGCGUGGGCACCCCUACGUUUGAACGGACCUCCCAACGCGGAUCGUCGUUAUCGUCGUCAGCUAAGUGGACUAGGCUGCUUGAUCUAGUUUAUUUGGCAAACAAGCACCUCUCGAACCCAACGAUGACGACCGUAAGGACCCGCUAUACCAAGUCGUUUCUCAGCGACACCGUUCGGACGUAAACGAGUGAAGUUUGUGCUCAGUUAGCGACAAGCAAGCAGCUAGUUAACUCAUUGGAACUAUAAUUGUUCAUUUGAAACAGUAACUAGUGACUUUCAAUUCUACGGUACGCGUCUUCGAAUGUUUCAUCUACAAAUUGCAGUCUCUAGUGUUAGCAGCAGCAGCGGCGGCGGUAGCGGUAGAAAAUGGACUUACACAGGACAGAACGGGUAACUGGGCAGACCCCAUUUCCAACACCGUCGUCAUCUGAUGCGAGAAGUGGCAAAAAAAGUUUGCUCUAACAGCAGGGCUACCGCUCUGUCAGUAACAUAAAUUGUUUUAUCGCCUCUGCCGUCGACAAUGGUCACUGCUAUGCUCACAAUCACGAUUUUAAACAUUUCAUUGAUAUAUGUGAUCAGGGAAGGCUUCUCGAAUACUGACGGCUGACGACCCUCAAACGACGUUCCCCACUUCGCAUGUUGGUUCAGUAGCUUGAAGUAUAUUUAGCUUCUUCAGAUACAGUCAUUGAAAAAUGUCAUGUUUCGUCUCAUAAAGUUAUCACAGAGUUUCGCGCGAAGCCCUGUAAUAUUAGAUUGCCGCGUGAAAUGAGGCAAUACAUCAAUCUGUUAUAAAGUAUUAAACUGAGUUAGAGGUGAUCUCAUAGGUC